rnacentral:lncRNA from 1 species
UCCCAAAAUGCUGAAAUUACACUUGUUAGCCAUAGUAAUAGUUCCUAGCCACAGUCCGGAGAUAUUUUAAAAACUUUAGUGUGAGUUAUUUCUCUUUGCUGUAAUUCUCUCAUGCAUUUUGAAAACCUUUUCUGCCAUACAGUGGUUUUUGGGAAGUCCUUUUGGACAGACAUAUCACAGGAUGGAGAAACUAAAGAGAGAGAAUGCAUUAAAGAAAAAAUAGUACUUCGUAUUUCAGAAAUUACAAAAGGGUGUCAUGCCCCACAGCAUGGUGGGCAGUCAUUUGUAACCCACAGAACAUUGAGUUUCUAAAAUUUGAGUGUUUUUAACUUACGAAGGCCAACUUUACUGAUGAAGUGAUUACCCCAAAUAUGUGAAAUCCAUAUUUCAAGCACAAUAGCAGGAAAUCGGAAAUGGAUAGUUCAUUGUCAGUGUAUGAAAAACCUACUGAUUUUUUACGUUGAUUUUAUAUACUGCAACUUUAUUGAAUUCUCAACAAAUGGUGUUGAAAAAACUGGAUGUCCUCAUGAAGAAGAAUGAAAUUGAACACAUCACAUCCCAUAUACAAGAAUCAACUCAAAGUGGGUUGAAGACUUAAAUAUAAGAUCUGAAACUAUAAAACUAUUAGAAAUAAAAAACGUAAGAGGAAAGCUCCA